UUAUACAUAGCCUCAACUCAUGUGAGACUAC
rnacentral:rRNA from 2 species